AUUGUUGAAUGAAGUAAUCUUUGGACCCUAGUGAAAUUAUACAGUGCUAGGUACUUUUAGUAGAUUUGGAGUGUAAUCUAGCCAUUUGAAUUUGAAAAUGUUUAUUUGUAUUCAAAAUCAUUUUGCCUUAUGUUAGGAAACAUCCCUUUUCAUUUUACAGUGUGCACACUCCCCACAAUGCACUUGGACCUGAUAUAGUUACCUUAAAUGAGAUAGGGUUUCAAGAGUGAAGAUCUACAGUGGUAGAAAGAAAUAGGUUCAGGAGGUUUAACAGAAGACUACAGUUGAGGGAAUAUUUCAUUUAAGAGCUAGUACCAACGAAGGCUCCUUGGGUGGCUUUUAACUACAUUUUACUCAGAGCAGACCUAUUGAAAUUGAUGAACACAACUAAGGUGGGUCUACUCUCAGUAAAAUUUAUUUUACUACCAUCCCCAUUCAUUCUCUCUGAAAGUAGCAUCCUUUAGCAGGACUUACAACACAUGCUGGAUGAGGUAUGAUUUAGGAAAGAAACUCUCCAGAUUAAUUUCUGCAAAAGGGUUA